rnacentral:rRNA from 1 species
CGAAAGCCUGACGGAGCAAGACCGCGUGGGGGAAGAAGGCUCUUGGGUUGUAAACCCCUUUUCUCUGGGAAGAAAGUUGUGAAAGCAACCUGACGGUACCAGAGGAAUCAGCAUCGGCUAACUCCGUGCCAGCAGCCGCGGUAAGACGGAGGAUGCAAGCGUUAUCCGGAGUGAUUGGGCGUAAAGCGUCCGCAGGUGGCAGUUCAAGUCUGCUGUCAAAGACCGGGGCUUAACCUCGGAAAGGCAGUGGAAACUGAACAGCUAGAGUAUGGUAGGGGCAGAGGGAAUUCCUGGGGUAGCGGUGAAAUGCGUAGAGAUCAGGAAGAACAUCGGUGGCGAAGGCGCUCUGCUGGACCAUAACUGACACUCAGGGACGAAAGCUAGGGGAGCG